UACGUAGGGGGCAAGCGUUGUCCGGAAUCAUUGGGCGUAAAGAGCGUGUAGGCGGUCCGGUCAGUCGGUUGUGAAAGUCAAGGGCUCAACCCUUGAAUGCCGACCGAUACUGCCGGGCUAGAGUCCGGAAGAGGUGAGUGGAAUUCCUGGUGUAGCGGUGAAAUGCGCAGAUAUCAGGAGGAACACCGAUGGCGAAGGCAGCUCACUGGGACGGUACUGACGCUGAGACGCGAAAGCGUGGGGAGCAAACAGG
rnacentral:rRNA from 1 species